rnacentral:misc_RNA from 1 species
CCGAGUGAGGGCCCUCUAGGUCCAACCUCCCACCCGUGUUUAUCGUACCUUGUUGCUUCGGCGGGCCCGCCGCAAGGCCGCCGGGGGCGUCUGUCCCCGGGCCCGCGCCCGCCGAAGACACCUGUGAACGCUGUAUGAAGAUUGCAGUCUGAGCGAAAAGCUAAAUCGUUA